CAUUAUCUCCUAUAUAUAUAUUCUUCAUCUGUAUUGAUUAUUGGGAGGCGAUCAUCAGCCGCAUCGUUUCUACCGCACACGACACAUCAGGUAGUCUGUCUGCUGCUCUUUUAGACCGCGUCAAAAUGUCAGACAGUCACGAGACUGAUAAAAAUAUCGAAAUAUGGAAGAUUAAAAAGCUUAUAAAAGCACUGGAAGCUGCUCGAGGCAAUGGCACCAGCAUGAUUUCUCUUAUCAUGCCUCCUCGUGAUCAGAUAUCCCGUGUUACUAAGAUGCUUGGAGAUGAGUUUGGAACAGCUUCAAACAUUAAAAGUAGGGUCAAUCGUCAAUCUGUGUUAGGGGCAAUUACCUCUGCCCAGCAAAGGCUCAAACUUUAUAACAAGGUUCCUCCUAAUGGCCUUGUGCUUUACACUGGAACAAUUGUCACUGAUGAUGGCAAAGAAAAGAAGGUGACCAUUGAUUUUGAGCCUUUUAGGCCCAUCAAUGCAUCCCUUUACCUAUGUGACAACAAAUUUCACACGGAAGCUUUGAAUGAGCUUUUGGAAUCUGAUGACAAGUUUGGCUUUAUUGUCAUGGAUGGCAAUGGGACCCUUUUUGGUACACUUAGCGGUAACACCCGAGAGGUUCUUCAUAAGUUUACUGUUGACCUGCCAAAGAAGCACGGUAGAGGAGGGCAAUCAGCUCUUCGAUUUGCUCGACUUCGGAUGGAGAAGCGUCACAACUAUGUUAGGAAGACAGCGGAGCUUGCCACCCAAUUUUAUAUUAACCCUGCUACCAGCCAGCCCAAUGUGUCGGGAUUGAUUCUGGCUGGAUCUGCUGACUUCAAAACUGAGCUGAGUCAGUCUGAUAUGUUUGAUCAACGUCUUCAAGCCAAAAUUCUGAAUGUGGUUGAUGUUUCAUAUGGAGGGGAGAAUGGUUUUAAUCAAGCAAUUGAGCUGUCAUCAGAAAUUCUAUCCAAUGUGAAGUUUAUACAGGAGAAGCGCCUGAUAGGAAAGUAUUUUGAAGAGAUUAGCCAGGAUACUGGAAAAUAUGUCUUUGGUGUUGAAGACACGCUGAAAGGGUUAGAGAUGGGGGCUGUUGAAACUCUCAUUGUGUGGGAGAAUUUGGAUAUUGCUAGAUAUACUUUGAAAAACAGCACUACUGGUGAGAUUAUGAUAAAACAUUUGAAUAAGGAGCAGGAGGCUAAUCAGAAUAACUUAAAGAAUACGGGCAGUUCAGAUGAAUUAGAGGUUCAGGAAAAGAUGCCACUGCUCGAGUGGUUUGCUAAUGAGUACAAGCGGUUUGGUUGCACUUUGGAGUUUGUGACCAACAAAUCACAAGAAGGAUCUCAGUUUUGUCGAGGUUUUGGAGGGAUUGGUGGAAUUCUACGCUACCAGCUUGAUAUGAGGGAUUUUGAUGAGCUUUCUGAUACUGAGGUUAAUGAUGACUCAGAAUAGCAAUCAACCAACUCUACCCCGUUGCUGGUGCAGGAGAAUGGGGUGAAAAUGCUUGCACCAGCGGGCGAGCGCUGCACGCGAGAUAUGGUGUUUGCGGAUGCUCGAUGCUCAAAAUAUUUGUCACGAUUUUAAUUGAGGAAAUCAAGUGGUUCUCAUGGAGCAGCAGGUGGAAGUAAUGUGGAGGUCAAAAUGAAUGCGAAUAUUGGUACAACUUAAGCUUGAUCAUAUUGAUCUGAGUGUUUGAUGUCGGAAAUGAAGACAGAUGGUUUUUUUGGAUCUUAUUUUUAUUAUCUGAUAUGUGUUGUUUCUUCUCUUUAGAGAAUAUUGGACUAGCAAUAAGUUUGGUUUGUGGAAUACUGUUAUUUUCUCUAUAGCGACACUAUGUUUAAUAUCUCGGUUAUGAUACUUGCAAUAAGUUAAAAAUCGUGGCUGGUGCCAUUGAUAUUUUUUAA